rnacentral:misc_RNA from 1 species
AAGUCGUAACAAGGUUUCCGUAGGUGAACCUGCGGAAGGAUCAGUAGAGAAAACCGUCGGCGCAAGCCGGCUUAAUCUACCCACACACACCUGUGAACUGUUAUACCGGGACGCGGAUUAGCCUCUGGCGAAACCGUCCCCCUUUACAAAACAUCUUAUAAUGUCAUGAACGUAGUCUUAUUUUAACAAAUAAAACUUUCAACAACGGAUCUCUUGGCUCCC